CUGUUCCACACUCAGAUAUUACAACAGAUACGUUUAGCCAAAGUAAUUGCAAAACAGAAGAACAAAAGAGGCACCCAUAGUGCAGAUUCUCCAACAGAGGCAUACAAUGGGAUAAAGGCAGCUCUAAACUAACACCUAGGAAGAACAUUAAUGGAGUGUGAACUAUAUCAAAUGAGCACAAGGAAGAACAUUUGCUGCAAAUUUUACUCAACAGCAGUUCGAGCUAUCAUACAUCAGGAAUUGAAAAUAAGAGGGAUAAAUCCUGGAAGCUGCGCCGAGGUUGGGCCAGCCCUGUCCAUGCCAGCGGCUGAACACACUUGGGGCAGCCCUGAGGACAACUCAGCAACACUAAGGGCUCCAAACCUUCUCACAAAGGCAACCCAACCCUUCCAACCUUCAAGCAUCCACAUCUAACAGUAAAACCUGAUUGAGAAACAUGCCACAGCUCAUCUUUUCCCAUCUCUGGGUUUACACCAUGGCCAUCUUCAGAUAUUUCAACUUGCCUCACUGACCUCAUUACAAAGAGGCUGUGACCUCUCAGAGGUGGACACCUGAGCAAGAAAUCAGCAAUGAGAGGACCUGUCCUAUUUCCAAGCCCCACAAACUAUCUGCCUCUGGGCUUUGACCCUCGUGGCCAACUCAGCAGUGAAAUGCUCCCCUCUGCUGGGACUAACCAUGGCUGGGACACAUGAGCAGGUUCACUGCAGGCCUGUGACAUCAGGGAGGAUACUGGAGGCAUGCUAAAUGAUAGCUCCUUUUUGAAGCAGAGAUGCCAGAGACCACCUCAAAGUGAAUCAGAGACAGAACUGGAUCAAGACCGUCUAGCUGGUUUUCCUCCACGUUUUGUAACUUGUUUAGUUUGCAUCGUCCACAUACAACCAUUACUUAUUUAUUAUAUAUAGACUGUCAAAUUUGGAGCCUUUGAGGAUAAAACAGGGUUUUGUUCUGCUGGCUGACCUACAUUCUUGUGAAUGAAGUUUCUCUUCCUUUCAAGUAUCUCAUGGUUGGAGGAAAAAUCCAUAAAGUGUGCUGUGUUCAGGGAAAUAAAUUUAACUGAUCCU
rnacentral:lncRNA from 7 species